rnacentral:rRNA from 1 species
CAUGGAGGGUGAGAAUCCCGUUCGGUUGAUCAGGUCACUUUACGAUACGUCAUCAAAGAGUCAAGUUGUUUGGGAUUGCAGCUUAAAAUGGGAGGUAAAUUUCUCCUAAGGCUAAAUAACGGCGAGAGACCGAUAGCGAACAAGUACCGUGAGGGAAAGAUGAAAAGAACUUUGAAAAGAGAGUUAAACAGUACGUGAAAUUGUUGAAAGGGAAACGAUUAAAGCCAGUCGUACCGGCGGGUAAUCAGCCUUUUGGGUGUGAUUAUGUGGAGCGUGAGGAGUUUAAUCGCCUUCAUGCCUGCAUAUUCGUGCACUUUGGGUGUACUUGCUCGUGUGGUAGGUUAACAUCAAUUUCGAUCAUCAUAAAAUGAUUGGGGGAAUGUAGCUUCGAUCUCGUAUUGAAGUGCUAUAGACUCUGGUAGAUGUGAUGAUUGGGAUUGAGGAUUGCAACGGAUACCCUUCGGGGCUACCCGUCUGAUCUCUGAGAGUUACUCUGGUGCUGAAAGCGUGCUUACGGUAUCAAAGUUGACGUUCAAUAGGUUAGAACGGGUUAAAUUCGUUAAGGAUGUUGACGUAAUGG